GUGCAUUUAUUAGAACAAAACCAGGCGACUUCGGUCGUUUUUUGUUGACUCAGAAUAACUUAGCUGAUCGCAUGGUCUUGCACCGGCGACGUGUCUUUCAAGUAUCUGCCUUAUCAACUUUCGAUGGUAGUGUAUCUGACUACCAUGGUGGUGACGGGUAACGGAGGAUAAGGGUUCGACUCCGGAGAAGGGGCCUGAGAAAUGGCCACUACGUCUAAGGAUGGCAGCAGGCGCGCAAAUUACCCACUCUCAGAACGAGGAGGUAGUGACGAAAAAUAACGAGACCGUUCUCUACGAGGCCGGUCAUCGGAAUGGGUACAAUCCAAACCCUUUAACGAGUAUCUAUGAGAGGGCAAGUCUGGUGCCAGCAGCCGCGGUAAUUCCAGCUCUCAAAAUGCAUAGAAUUAUUGCUGCGGUUAAAAAGCUCGUAGUUGGAUCUGUGCCCGGGACUUGGUCCACCUUUAUUGGUUGGUACUAGGCUUCCGGGCUUGGCUGCCGGUUUUCUCGUCGUAGCCUUUACUGGUUGCGGCGAGUGGCUGGCGAUUUUACUUUGAACAAAUCAGAGUGCUUAACACAGGCGUUUCGCUUGAAUGUUUUUGCAUAGAAUAAUAGAAAAGGAUUUCGGUUCUAUUUUAUUGGUUUUAUAGACUGAGAUAAUGGUUAACAGAGACAAACGGGGGCAUUCGUAUCGCUGCGUGAGAGGUGAAAUUCUUGGACCGCAGCGCGACGAACUACAGCGAAAGCAUUUGCCAAGAAUGUCUUCAUUAAUCAAGAACGAAAGUCAGAGGUUCGAAGGCGAUCAGAUACCGCCCUAGU
rnacentral:rRNA from 1 species